rnacentral:lncRNA from 1 species
GUACCUCUUUAUCAUGGAACACACACUCAUGAGAAAAUGUUUCAGAUCUGUUGUUGAACUUGAAGAUGUCAUAACUUCUUAUCAAGCGCAAUUGCAAUGCGAUCUUGCUCUUUCCCGGUUCCAAUUCCUUGAUGACGCCGAACAAAGGAGCCAUUUCAACGUAAAAUGAAAAAAUGAGAAUGAUUUUUGUGGAGAUCGAUUUUUUGGCUAUGGAAUUCGUAUUGUGAUAGGUAGAAUUCGUAUUGUGAUAGUUUGUGAGGUUAUAUUUAUAGAUGGUGGAAAUUAUUUAUUUUGUUUUAAAAAAUUAUGGAGUAACUGCUGCGAAUUUAUUUCUAUGCACCGAAAAUUUGGAAGUCGACUAAAGCAUGACCUCCCUACGAUUUUUCUCCUCGCAAAACCUAAACCUAACUGCUGAUUCGCCGCCGUCUUUCUGGUCUCCGGCGAUGCUGCUUCGCCAAGCGUCUCUCUAGCUGAUAGGGGGGCUUAACCUCCCGCCGGUGUCGAAUAAUUUCCAACCCCAGCAAGUUGCUACUGCUCGAGCCUCUC